rnacentral:rRNA from 1 species
GCUGGCGGCAGGCCUAACACAUGCAAGUCGAGCGGUAACAUUUCUAGCUUGCUAGAAGAUGACGAGCGGCGGACGGGUGAGUAACGCGUAGAAAUCUACCUAGUAGUGGGGGAUAGCCCAGAGAAAUUUGGAUUAAUACCGCAUACGCCCUACGGGGGAAAGCGGGGGAUCUUCGGACCUCGUGCUAUUAGAUGAGUCUGCGUCGGAUUAGCUUGUUGGUGAGGUAAUGGCUCACCAAGGCGACGAUCCGUAGCUGGUCUGAGAGGAUGACCAGCCACACUGGAACUGAGACACGGUCCAGACUCCUACGGGAGGCAGCAGUGGGGAAUAUUGCACAAUGGGCGCAAGCCUGAUGCAGCCAUGCCGCGUGUGUGAAGAAGGCCCUAGGGUUGUAAAGCACUUUCAGCAGUGAGGAAAGGGGUGUCGUUAAUAGCGCCAUCCUGUGACGUUAACUGCAGAAGAAGGACCGGCUAACUCCGUG